rnacentral:rRNA from 1 species
AACGAACGCUGGCGGCAUGCCUAACACAUGCAAGUCGAACGAGAUCCUUCGGGGUCUAGUGGCGCACGGGUGCGUAACGCGUGGGAAUCUGCCCUUAGGUUCGGAAUAACAGUUAGAAAUGACUGCUAAUACCGGAUGAUGACGUUAAGUCCAAAGAUUUAUCGCCUGAGGAUGAGCCCGCGUAGGAUUAGCUAGUUGGUGUGGUAAAGGCGCACCAAGGCGACGAUCCUUAGCUGGUCUGAGAGGAUGAUCAGCCACACUGGGACUGAGACACGGCCCAGACUCCUACGGGAGGCAGCAGUGGGGAAUAUUGGACAAUGGGCGCAAGCCUGAUCCAGCAAUGCCGCGUGAGUGAUGAAGGCCUUAGGGUUGAAAAGCUCUUUUACCCGAGAUGAUAAUGACAGUAUCGGGAGAAUAAGCCCCGGCUAACUCCGUG